rnacentral:rRNA from 1 species
AUUGAACGCUGGCGGCAGGCCUAACACAUGCAAGUCGAGCGGAUGAAGGGAGCUUGCUCCUGGAUUCAGCGGCGGACGGGUGAGUAAUGCCUAGGAAUCUGCCUGGUAGUGGGGGAUAACGUCCGGAAACGGGCGCUAAUACCGCAUACGUCCUGAGGGAGAAAGUGGGGGAUCUUCGGACCUCACGCUAUCAGAUGAGCCUAGGUCGGAUUAGCUAGUUGGUGGGGUAAAGGCCUACCAAGGCGGCGAUCCGUAACUGGUCUGAGAGGAUGAUCAGUCAAACUGGAACUGAGACACGGUCCAGACUCCUACGGGAGGCAGCAGUGGGGAAUAUUGGACAAUGGGCGAAAGCCUGAUCCAGCCAUGCCGCGUGUGUGAAGAAGGUCUUCGGAUUGUAAAGCACUUUAAGUUGGGAGGAAGGGCAGUAAGUUAAUACCUUGCUGUUUUGACGUUACCAACAGAAUAAGCACCGGCUAACUUCGUG